UAUUCCAAAAGGGUUAAUCAUUUCUUAAGGGAGGCAGAUUCUUCAGUUUUCCUCAUUAGAACACUGCAAAUGCAUUGGCUGAUUAAUGAUGAAAAAUUGACUCCUAUUCAGAUUCACUCUGCAGACAACAAACAGCAGAUAGAUGCCGCUUGCUGUCACGCCUUGUGAUGUAUCUGUGAAGACAGGAUUUAGAAACAUGCAUCAGGAAGAAAAGGUGAUGGAGGGCAGGAAUAGCAAGUCUGGUUAUAUCUGAAGUCUUUUAAUACGAUAAGAAAACAGUGUGACAAAUUCAUGUUUGGAGUUGAUCUAUUGACCCGUCUAUACCUGGAGGUAGAGAACAAGACCCAUGGGACCAGAUGGUAGACGCCUGUAAAAAAUUUUCCUGAGUGCAGCUACACAGAUCUGGUCAUCCCUACUGCGAAAUGCCCGUAGUUGGUAUCCCUGACAAAUGUCUUUAUGCUGAGAAGUGUCCAUGGAAAAGCUGGGUAGAAGCCACUAGGCUGAACAUUUCAAGAAGGACUCGCUACUAACAGAUUGAAAUACCAGUGGCUGCUCACAAAGGGGCAAGGUCUUAAAGUGGAAGUUCACCCAAAUUACUGACUUAAUGCUAUUCCCUUCCGAGCAUUGCAUAUAUGCGCAAAUGACAAUUUUUUUUUUUUUAAGUGCUGUAUACCUUCUAAUUUGUCUUCAUUGUUGGACUUCCUGUCUGUUACUCCCGCGGGAGUAGGCGUGGUCAUUCCUUUUCCUCGGCGGCGCACUGUCUCCUGGGAGCUAAGUGUCAGCAUUCCCAGGAGUCAGUGAGGAUCGCCGCUGCGAAAAUCUCGCGAGAUCGUCUGCUUCCCCGUACUGACCUGUGUAUAUUUCUAGUUGCAACCUGCUCAGUUUACGGCGCUCAGCAUUCACUGGAACCAGGAAGUUAAUGCUUGUGGGCUUCACAUGCCCACAAGCAAGAUGAAACCGGCAGUACCCUUAUUUUAUAACUUUGUUUUUUAAUGGGAACCUGACAUCGGGGGAGAUGAAUCACCAGAUCAGUGAGUGUAACAUUGCGAUGAUUUUAUUGUUUGCAUGGUUUAAAAAA